rnacentral:rRNA from 1 species
CCUACGGGACGCAGCAGUCGGGAACAUUGCGCAAUGGAGGAAACUCUGACGCAGUGACGCCGCGUAUAGGAAGAAGGUUUUCGGAUUGUAAACUAUUGUCGUGAGGGAAGAAAUUGACAGUACCUCAGGAGGAAGCUCCGGCUAACUACGUGCCAGCAGCCGCGGUAAUACGUAGGGUGCGAGCGUUAAUCGGAAUUACUGGGCGUAAAGGGUGCGCAGGCGGUUGAGUAAGACAGAUGUGAAAUCCCCGAGCUUGACUCGGGAAUGGCAUAUGUGACUGCUCGAAUAGAGUGUGUCAGAGGGAG